rnacentral:precursor_RNA from 1 species
GCAGAGGUCCAGGGUCUCAGCUGCUGCAGCAAUGGGCUUGAACAGGGCCCGGCCAGGAAUGCUGAAUCCUGCCGACUAUGCCA